rnacentral:rRNA from 1 species
UACGGAGGAUCCGAGCGUUAUCCGGAUUUAUUGGGUUUAAAGGGUGCGCAGGCGGGAGAUUAAGUCGGCGGUGAAAUUUUGCAGCUCAACUGUAAAAGUGCCUUCGAAACUGGUUUCCUUGAGUGUGGAUGAAGUAGGCGGAAUUUGUGGUGUAGCGGUGAAAUGCUUAGAUAUCACGAGGAACUCCGAUUGCGCAGGCAGCUUACUAAACUACUACUGACGCUCAGGCACGAAGGCGUGGGGAUCAAACAGGAUUAGAUACCCGCGUA